UCCCCGUUAUCCUGGGCAGUCCCUCCAGAGUUCCCGGCAUGACCCGUUGGCAACUGGAGGCGAGGGUUGCGCUCGUUGCGGGACUUAACCCAACAUCUCACGACACGAGCUGACGACAGCCAUGCAGCACCUGUGUCCCGGCCCAUUGCUGGGGAGAAUCCGUUUCCGGAAACCGUCCGGGUAUGUCAAGGCUUGGUAAGGUUCUUCGCGUUGCGUCGAAUUAAACCACAUGCUCCGCUGCUUGUGCGGGUCCCCGUCAAUUCCUUUGAGUUUUAGCCUUGCGGCCGUACUCCCCAGGCGGGGCACUUAAUGCGUUAGCUCCGGCACGGGAGGAGUCGACACCUCCCACACCUAGUGCCCAUCGUUUACGGCGUGGACUAC
rnacentral:misc_RNA from 1 species